AUUGAACGCUGGCGGCAUGCUUUACACAUGCAAGUCGAACGGUAACAGGCCGCAAGGUGCUGACGAGUGGCGAACGGGUGAGUAAUGCAUCGGAACGUGCCCAGUCGUGGGGGAUAACUACUCGAAAGAGUAGCUAAUACCGCAUACGAUCUAUGGAUGAAAGCGGGGGACCGUAAGGCCUCGCGCGAUUGGAGCGGCCGAUGUCAGAUUAGGUAGUUGGUGGGGUAAAGGCUCACCAAGCCAACGAUCUGUAGCUGGUCUGAGAGGACGACCAGCCACACUGGGACUGAGACACGGCCCAGACUUCUACGGGAGGCAGCAGUGGGGAAUUUUGGACAAUGGGCGCAAGCCUGAUCCAGCAAUGCCGCGUGCAGGAAGAAGGCCUUCGGGUUGUAAACUGCUUUUGUACGGAACGAAACGGCUCUGGUUAAUACCCGGGGCUAAUGACGGUACCGUAAGAAUAAGCACCGGCUAACUACGUG
rnacentral:rRNA from 1 species